CUACGGGUGGCAGCAGUGGGGAAUAUUGGACAAUGGGCGAAAGCCUGAUCCAGCCAUGCCGCGUGUGUGAAGAAGGCCUUCGGGUUGUAAAGCACUUUCAGUGGGGAAGAAAGCCUUGGGGCUAAUACCCUCGAGGAAGGACAUCACCCACAGAAGAAGCACCGGCUAACUCCGUGCCAGCAGCCGCGGUAAUACGGAGGGUGCGAGCGUUAAUCGGAAUUACUGGGCGUAAAGCGCGCGUAGGCGGUCUGAUAAGCCGGUUGUGAAAGCCCCGGGCUCAACCUGGGAACGGCAUCCGGAACUGGCAGGCUAGAGUGCAGGAGAGGAAGGUAGAAUUCCCGGUGUAGCGGUGAAAUGCGUAGAGAUCGGGAGGAAUACCAGUGGCGAAGGCGGCCUUCUGGACUGACACUGACGCUGAGGUGCGAAAGCGUGGGUAGCAAACAGGAUUAGAUACCCUUGUAGUC
rnacentral:rRNA from 1 species